GAUGAACGCUGGCGGCGUGCCUAAUACAUGCAAGUCGAGCGAACAGACGAUGAGCUUGCUCCUCUGACGUUAGCGGCGCACGGGUGAGUAACACGUGUAUAACCUACCUAUAAGACUGGUAUAAUCUCGGGAAACCGGAGCUAAUACCGGAUAAUCUAUUGAACCGCAUGGUUCAAUAGUGAAAGACGGUUUUGCUGUCACUUAUAGAUGGAUCCGCGCCGCAUUAGCUAGUUGUUAAGGUAACGGCUUACCAAGGCAACGAUGCGUAGCCGACGUGAGAGAGUGAUCGGCCACACUAGAACGGAGACACGGUCAAGAGUCCUGCGGGAGGCAGCAGUAGGGAAUCUUCCGCAGUGGGCGAGAGCCUGACGGAGCAACGCCACGUGAGUGGUGACGGUCUUCGGAUCGUAAAACUCUGUUAUUAGUGAUGAACAAAUGUGGAAGUAACUAUGCACGUAUUGACGGUACCUGAUCAGAAAGCCACGGCUAACUACGUG
rnacentral:rRNA from 1 species